rnacentral:tRNA from 2 species
GCUCCGGUAGUGUAGCUCGGCCAAUCAUGUAGGGCUCUCAAUCCUACGACACGGGUUCAAAUCCCGUCCGGAGCA